GCUGGUGGUGGGGAGAGGAAUGGAAUAGAGGGGAUUGUGGUCGGGAUAGGGAUGGUGGGAAUAUUUGAGGGCAUGCUUGGAAGUGGAGGCAGAGUGGGUUUAGGCAAUGAGGGUUGUGUGGUGGGCAAAGUUGGCACGGUGGGCUGUGGCAGUGUUGGUAUAGAAGGCAUUGGUGGCAACGUUGGUUUAGGCAAAUUCGGCACGGAAGGUAAAGGGGGCAAUUGCAGAAGAUGACGAGCUGCCUCGCCGCCUGGAAAAGAAAGAGCAAU